GACGAACGCUGGCGGCGUGCUUAACACAUGCAAGUCGAACGGAAAGGCCCUUCGGGGUACUCGAGUGGCGAACGGGUGAGUAACACGUGGGUGAUCUGCCCUGCACUUUGGGAUAAGCCUGGGAAACUGGGUCUAAUACCGGAUAGGACUACGCGAUGCAUGUCGUGUGGUGGAAAGCUUUUGCGGUGUGGGAUGGGCCCGCGGCCUAUCAGCUUGUUGGUGGGGUGAUGGCCUACCAAGGCGACGACGGGUAGCCGGCCUGAGAGGGUGUCCGGCCACACUGGGACUGAGAUACGGCCCAGACUCCUACGGGAGGCAGCAGUGGGGAAUAUUGCACAAUGGGCGCAAGCCUGAUGCAGCGACGCCGCGUGGGGGAUGACGGCCUUCGGGUUGUAAACUUCUUUCAAUAGGGACGAAGCGCGAGUGACGGUACCUAUAGAAGAAGCACCGGCCAACUACGUGCCAGCAGCCGCAGUAAUAC
rnacentral:rRNA from 1 species